UACGUAGGGUGCAAGCGUUGUCCGGAAUUAUUGGGCGUAAAGAGCUCGUAGGUGGCCUGUCGCGUCAGCUGUGAAAACUCGGGGCUCAACUCCGAGCUUGCAGUCGAUACGGGCAGGCUAGAGUUCGGCAGGGGAGACUGGAAUUCCUGGUGUAGCGGUGAAAUGCGCAGAUAUCAGGAGGAACACCGGUGGCGAAGGCGGGUCUCUGGGCCGAUACUGACACUGAGGAGCGAAAGCGUGGGGAGCGAACAGG
rnacentral:rRNA from 1 species